UCUCUCUCUCAUCAGGUGAGCUCCUUGGGAAGGGACUAAACGGGAUUCUUUUUCCCGAGUUUUUGCAGUGUCCAGAGCUGGACCAGGCAUGCAAUGCCUUGCCAAGGAGGUGAGGGUAUGAAGAUGAAUGGUAUGUGGUUCCUGUCUUCAUGAUCUCGACAUCUGGUGUGGGAAGCAGACGUUGUAACAGAUAAGUGGAGCGUGCUGUGGUUAGUGAAAGAGAGGCCUGGGUACAGGGUUCCAGGAAACCCAGAGGAAGGGGGUUCAGUCCAGCCCGGGGGCUCCAAGGAAGAUUUCUGAUAGGACAACAUGCCCAAGCUGUCUUGCUGGAUGAGUAAGAAGAAAGCUGGAAGGGCGCUCCAAACAGAGGAGAUAUCACUAGGAAAGACUGGGGUGUGACAUCUCAUUCACUGAUGCUUCUAAGAAACAUUCUUGGUGGCCUACUGUGUACCAGAUAUGUGGCAGCAAACCGAAUGGAAGCCCCUUCCCUCGCUUGUGUUCCCGUAGGACACAGGGCCUGCAAAUCUGCAGCAUCGCUGGGGAACCAAGAGCAGAGCGGGGAGCGGUGGCAGAAGAGACUGAACAGCAGGCUGGCGCUUCGUUUUACGUGAGAAUUGAGUUGGUACCCUACCUACUUCCGCCGAGGACUUGAGGCAUUUAUAAAGAGCUGAGGGUUUGCCAAACGGAGCUGCCACCGGCCAGGAGUCCCAGACCCCCUCCUGAGGUGGGCGAUUCUUCUGCUUCUUCCAAAGUCUCUCGGUCACUGCAGGGAACUGACUGCUAACAGGGCUGGAGAAGCGAUGCUGCCCCCCUGGGACCCUGGGCACUCCUCGAAAUCCCCUUGGGUUGACUCAGCAAUUUGGGUUGUGACGCACGGCAGGGAGAGCCUGGCACACACAGUGAGAACAUUGUAAAUGCCCGUUGGAUGAAAACAUGAGGGAUUGGACGUUAUCUGUAAAACGAAGGGGUGGCCAAUCCCUUGGAGCUUUGACUUGAGUCUAAGAGUGAGUAACAUUAGGAGCUUCCCGGAAAGUAGGGAUGGCCUCCUCAACCAACACUUCACUCCACUCAAGUCAAAGGAUAAAGAGCCAAGAAGGAAAGCUGUGUGCCAUCCAUCCAUCCAACAUUAGGCCGGGCGCUGUCUGAAACAUUGGCGCCAUUGAAAUGCCUUUAUGAAAGUCACUGUCCAAUGGUGGCAGGUAGACCGGUGAAGAGAUCGUCAGAUGACAGUGAGAAAAGUACUAACCAAGGCAGGUAGACAGGUAGGCUGAAGGGGCCAAGAAAGGCCUUGUCAAUGAGCAGGGUUUUAAAGGACAAGACUGGAAUUUACCAAGCUGGAAAGAGGAAUGGGAAGGAUAUUCAGGCUCUGAGAACAGCAGAAAUAAAGUCGGGGGCGGGAUGGGGCGGGCAGAAUACUAUGUCGAAUUCAGGACGUGCAGAUAGACUGGGGUGGCUCUCAGGUGUCAGGUAGGAUGUAAAGGUUGGCACACGGAUGCAGGUGAGGAGGAGGGAAGCACUUAGUGGUGUAUUUUUCCCGAUCAUCUGUUGCAAAUACAAUGAGAAUAGUUUCCAAGAGGCAUGACCACACAGACUUGGUCAGAGGCUUACUAUCCACCUAAUGGUUUUUAUUAUCAUUACUAUUCCUUUUUUUUAUAAAUUUUUUAUUUAUUUUUGAGAGGGGGGAGGGGCAGAGAGAGAGGGAGACAGAAUCUUAAGCAGGCUCCAGGCUCUGAGCCCUCAGCCCAGGGCCAGAUGCGGGGCUCGAACCCACGAGCUGCGAGAUCAUGACCUGAGCCGAAGUCGGAGGCUUACCCGUCUGAGCCACCCAGGUGCCCCUAUCAUUACUAUUCUUUGGACAGCAUUCAUUUACAUUUGCUGCGGACCCCAAAUCAAAGCAGAUCAGAAUAUGACAAAUGUGUGUCAGUGAGAUGAGGUAUUUGAUGGGGAAGGCAUUAUCUCUCUGUGGUGAGUAAGCAGUUGACCCUGCUGGGCUGCAGCCUGCUAUGGCAUAAGGACCAUUGCCAGUGAUUUAACUCUGGCCCCUGACAAACCACAUUUUGUAAUUACUUUUUACCCAUACGCCAUCAUCAUUAUUAUAACCGUAACUUACGUAAAAACCUGCAUACGUGGAUAUGCUAAGUUCGCUCAUUGACUUCCAGAAUCCCACAUCCUCCAAGGACUUUCAGGAAUCUCCAUGAUGCCUCUGAAAGCUGCAUUUUGCAUCCGAUUCUCUCCUUUCGGUAAAAAGAAGCUUCAGAAAUUCAUGUCGCUCGCCCACAGUCUGCAGAGUUCCCUCGCUUGGACAAAUUGGUCUUGGAAAAUGUAUACCACAUAAAUCACUCCCAGAUCAUCUUGUGCCUGUGGGAGGACUAAGGGCUUAAGACGAGAGCAUUUCACAGCAUCAUAUUCGGUGCCUUUUCCUGGCAGACAUGGAGGAGAGAGAACAAGAGACCCAAUCCAAGUUUGCCUGGACGCAGGGAAAUUCGGUGUCUAAAUGCCACAUUCCCUGGGACUGUGUAAUAAAUAAUCUGUUAUAAUAGCAAAUAAUAGUGUAAUAAUGUCAUGAUGAUAACCUAUAAUUUAAGUAAAUCUAUGAAAGGCAUAGAAUGGAGAGAUUUCCAGCGCUGGCUUCUGGGCAUGAGUCACAAACUCAAUUCCUAGUUCAAAGCAAUUGGCACUUCUGACGUUUAAAUGUAAAUGGGUCUCUACCAAACUCAUUAAAUAUUCAAUCCAUAUUCAAAGUUAUUAAAUAUUGAACACGAUCUAAUAAAUACAACCAAGUUAAUCGAG